rnacentral:rRNA from 1 species
GACGUAGGGCGCGAGCGUUUGUCCGGAUUUAUUGGGCGUAAAGAGCUCGUAGGCGGCUUGUUGCGUCGGCUGUGAAAUCCCAUGGCUCAACUGUGGGCUUGCAGCCGAUACGGGCGGGCUAGAGUUCGGUAGGGGGAGACUGGAAUUCCUGGUGUAGCGGUGAAAUGCGCAGAUAUCAGGAGGAACACCUAUUGCGAAGGCAGCUCGCUGGGACGUUACUGACGCUGAGACGCGAAAGCGUGGGGAGCAAACAGG